rnacentral:rRNA from 1 species
AACGAACGCUGGCGGCAGGCUUAACACAUGCAAGUCGAACGCCCCGCAAGGGGAGUGGCAGACGGGUGAGUAACGCGUGGGAACGUACCCUUUACUACGGAAUAGCUCCGGGAAACUGGAAUUAAUACCGUAUGUGCCCUUCGGGGGAAAGAUUUAUCGGUAAAGGAUCGGCCCGCGUUGGAUUAGCUAGUUGGUGGGGUAAAGGCCUACCAAGGCGACGAUCCAUAGCUGGUCUGAGAGGAUGAUCAGCCACAUUGGGACUGAGACACGGCCCAAACUCCUACGGGAGGCAGCAGUGGGGAAUAUUGGACAAUGGGCGCAAGCCUGAUCCAGCCAUGCCGCGUGAGUGAUGAAGGUCUUAGGAUUGUAAAGCUCUUUCACCGGGGAAGAUAAUGACGGUACCCGGAGAAGAAGCCCCGGCUAACUUCGUGCCAGCCGCCGCCGUAACAC